rnacentral:misc_RNA from 1 species
AACCUUCUUCGAACUGGAUG